rnacentral:rRNA from 1 species
AUUUUACGCUGGUGGCAGGCCUAACACAUGCAAGUCGAGCGGCAGCGGGAAAGUAGCUUGCUACUUUUGCCGGCGAGCGGCGGACGGGUGAGUAAUGCCUGGGGAUCUGCCCAGUCGAGGGGGAUAACUACUGGAAACGGUAGCUAAUACCGCAUACACCCUACGGGGGAAAGCAGGGGACCUUCGGGCCUUGCGCGAUUGGAUGAACCCAGGUGGGAUUAGCUAGUUGGUGAGGUAAUGGCUCACCAAGGCGACGAUCCCUAGCUGGUCUGAGAGGAUGAUCAGCCACACUGGAACUGAGACACGGUCCAGACUCCUACGGGAGGCAGCAGUGGGGAAUAUUGCACAAUGGGGGAAACCCUGAUGCAGCCAUGCCGCGUGUGUGAAGAAGGCCUUCGGGUUGUAAAGCACUUUCAGCGAGGAGGAAAGGUUGGUAGCUAAUAACUGCCAGCUGUGACGUUACUCGCAGAAGAAGCACCGGCUAACUCCGUGCCAGCAGCCGCCGUAAUAC